rnacentral:tRNA from 2 species
CAAAGAGUAGUUUAAGUUAAAAUGUUGGCUUUGGGGGCCAGAGAUGGGAGUUCUCUCUUUGA